rnacentral:misc_RNA from 1 species
GUGAAUCAUCGAAUUUUUGAACGCAAAUUGCACUCUCCGCGGAGAGUAUGCCUGUUUGAGUGUGAGCCUAUAAAAACUCGACAUCGUUGCUGUUUCGCGGUGGCGUUCGUCGGAAAUUGGGACAUUUUAAAUCCUUUUGAUUUAAGCGAAUUAACAUUAUCUAUUGGUUCCAUGAACGUUUCUAAUAUCUAUUUCUUUACACGUUUAAGGUAUCGAUUUUGACU